ensembl:snoRNA U3 Small nucleolar RNA U3
AAGACUAUGUUUUCAGGGAUCAUUUCUAUAGUUCUUUGCUUGGAAAUGUAUUUGAAAAGUGUUUGUCUCCCAACCCAUGACGAUGAGCUAUGAUACUCCAUUCUGAGAGUGAAUUGAGGCGGAACUCUGGCUUUUGUUCACAAGCUCGUGUUGUUGAUGGCGUUCAUAUUGUUUUUGGCAAUGUUGAAGAAAAGUAUGAUCUGAGUGGU